GCUAACCAAUUCUUUGAAGACUAACAUCAUCUGUGGGGGAUUGAGAAGCAUGUUAGUGAACCCACAAGAGAUCUAAUAUGGUGUUGCUGGAGCUGACUUUAUGGUUGGCCUCACUAGGUCUUCACAAAUCAAGCUGAAGAAGAUGUGUAGUAGUUUUCAGAGACAACUCAAGGCUAUGCUUCGCAAGAACUGGCUUCUCAAAAUUCAUCAUCCGUACAUCACUCUCGCAUAGGUUAUUCCAUUGAUCAUUGUUCAAUUUUCAUUUUUGUAGAUUCAAAGGCUCAAUUUCACUGUUUAAUUUGUGUAAUUUGAAUUUGAUCACAUACCUAUGCUACCUCAUGGUUAACAAUGCAAGAAGAAUAGGGCUGAAAUGGAGAGACAAAGAUCAAUGGAGCUUGGAUGGUAGACUGAAGACAUUAUAUAUAAUUGAUUUGAAGUCUUGGCCAAUCAUUCAUUAAUAGAUGGAAUGAAUUUGUCUAUUGGUAAUACUUUGAUUGAUAUGUAUGAUGGAUUCUAUACACCUGAUAAAAGCACGCCAGGUGUUGGAUGCUAUGCCAAAGAGACAUUCUUUUUUAUUGAUCAGUCUAUAAGCUUUCAGUUUUAUAUCUACUAGCAUACUCUUCUGUGAUGAUGAAUCAUUUGAGUAUAUACAGUCAAGGAAAUGUGCAAAAUUUUAAUUAUUCGUUUCUUUUGAGUAUAUAUAAUUAUGAUAUUUGUUGAUUAUUUAGGAGUUUAGUGGAAAAGUGAAAGUUAUAAGGUGGAUCUUGUGGGCACAUGUCACACCACAUAAGAGUAUUAUCAAAACUUAUUGCAUAUGUCUCAUUACCCAGGGCAUGUGUAACACCCGGUUUAGCGGGUGUUAAUCUCUUUGUAUUUGUAUGGCUUAGUUAAAUAUGUAUCAGUGGUUAUAAUCAUAAUUUGAGAUAUUGUGAUGAUAUGUUAGUUAAAGGUGACAUAUAUUUAAUGUAUAUAUGUAUUAUUACUUCAUAGUUCAUAGUAAUUAAGAAAUAUGUAAACUGAUUUUUUCUUUAUAAUUAAAUACACUGAUAACAUAUAUUGGAUGAUUUUGUGUGUUGAUAUCACAUCUCCCACAUACACUUCACUUUUUUAGUCGAUUCUAAUUCAUUGUGCGAUUUGAUGAAGAUUGAUGCUUCGCAGUGUUCUGGUAAGAAAUUUAUCAUAGGGCUUUUGUUUGCUUUGGCGUGCGACUUUUUUUUUGCUCUGCUUCGUAGGUUGUUGUUUG
rnacentral:lncRNA from 1 species